GGCAAGGCCUUGAGGACUCUGCUUCUUUGCCAGCAGCAUUUGUAUUCCUGCAAGCAUUCGUCAGUGUUCCUCUAGGGUCCGGCUCUGUUAUGUGGAGGAAACACCAGUUUGCUGUGAAUAGACCUGAUUAUCAGCACUGCAGAGCCAAGUGUAUCCGCAGAUCGCAGGACUUCCAGUGUGGCUGGUGGAAAGGAGCCCUGUUCCGCCCCGGGUUUGCUACUCAAUGUGCUUGCCAAGGAAUGCAUCUCCUCCUCUGCUGAAGAACUGCCACCCUCAUUAGCUCUAUGGAAGACGGAAACAGAAAUCCACACCGGGCGUCCAACGCAGUGCUCGCCUCCAGACGCCCUCGGUAUGUGCAGCCGAAUGAGAAUCAGAGCUCUCCCCUCACACACUGCUUGCUCAAGAAGCCUGCGUGCACAGAAGCUGUUUAGUAGUGGGUUAAAUCACCCAUUCUUUGCGCAGUCUUGGAAACUCUGUGCAGACACUCACAUUAGGUAAACGGGUUUGCUUCAGUUUUAUUUAUUUUAUUUUAUUUUUUGC